AAUCAACGCUGGCGGCGUGCCUCAGACAUGCAAGUCGAACGAUUAAAGCUCUCUUCGGAGAGUGUAUAGAGUGGCGCACGGGUGAGUAACACGUAAGUAAUCUACCCUCGAGUGGGGAAUAACGUCCGGAAACGGACGCUAAUACCGCAUAAUGCAGCGGCACCGCAAGGUGACAGUUGUUAAAGAUUUAUCGCUUGAGGAGGAGCUUGCGGCAGAUUAGCAGUUGGUAAGGUAAUGGCUUACCAAGGCUACGAUCUGUAACCGGUCUAAGAGGACGGUCGGUCACACUGACACUGAAUAACGGGUCAGACUCCUACGGGAGGCAGCAGUCGGGAAUUUUGGGCAAUGGGCGAAAGCCUGACCCAGCAACGCCGCGUGAAGGAUGAAGUAUUUCGGUAUGUAAACUU
rnacentral:rRNA from 1 species